UGAACGGUACUAAAGUCCAGUCACUACAUGUUGUCUCAUGCUGAGAGUUAUAUCACGCUGGGGGUAUAUUUUCCUAAAUACGUGAAACACUAGCAGACCAGUUGCUGUGGGAAUGGAGUUCAACAAAGAACUGCUUAAAGUGCGACCUAUUCAAACUGGAGAGGGAGACUUUCUAUGGAAAAUGAUCAUAAAGAAUCUAUCAGACCAAGUCCAUCCUUAUGUUGUCAGAAAACUUUCUUUUAACCCAUUGACUGUCCUCCUGACAGCAGUGUCCAUCACAGUUUUAUAUUAUUACAUAGACAUGUUCAUAGUCUCAAUACUAUUGCCAGUUUUCACAGUUAGAAUCUUAAUUUACAUAUAUAUGUCCUCAGAAAUGAGAAAGUAUGAAAAUCGAUUCCCAGUAGAAAAGGCAGACUUGCGCGGUUAUUAUAGUCGCCAAGGAACUGCGUUUUGGGUAGCAACAUAUAACAGGGAAAUCAUUGGGACGGUUGCCAUUGACAAGAAGACGGAUUCCACAGCUGAACUGAAAAGAAUGAUUGUUAAAAAGAAUUACCGUAGAUUUGGCAUUGGAAAGAUGUUAGUGACAACUGCCAUUGAAUUUUCUAAGCAACAAGGCUAUGGUGAACUGAUUCUUGAAACUUCGGAAGCACAGAUGCCUGCAGUGCAUUUGUAUAAAAGGUGUGGAUUUGAGAUUCGUGAGGAAGUUUUUGCUGUUAAUGUACUUGGGAUUCUUACUUUUAAAGAAUUUCAGCUGGGUAUGUCAUUUUCUAGGCAAAAUUAGCUUUUUCUAAUGGUACCAAUGAGUGCAUGUGAAAUUUUGGCCCAUAUAGUAGAUAGACAUUUUAUUAUUUUUAAUUAUGUAAUUUAGUAUUAUGUAAUUAAUUAUUCCAUUAAUAUGUGAGGCACUAUUUUCAAAGUUAAAAAAAAGUUUUAUAUCAGAUUUUAUAUUUUAUUGACAAUACAGACAGUAGUUAAUAGUAGCAAUAGUGCAUUAUAUAAGGCAUGAGCAGCAGUUGUACAAUUUACAUUGUUUUUAAGUUCCUGAUCAAACAUUGAUGAAAGUGGUUGGCCAAAAUUAUUUAUAUGGCAUAAUAGUAAUUAGCAUUUUGUAACCAAGUUUAGUGCAAUUGUUUGAUGACGUCAGGGAGGUCAAUAUGUAUUCUUACCACAUAUAGCAAAUCCCAGAUAUAUAUAUAUAACAUGUAAUGGUAUAAUAAUUGGCCUUAAUAUUGCUAUUACAGUAUUAAUGGAAAUGUUAUUUUAAUGCUGAAGAUAACAAGAAAUCUGCAUACAUGUUUUUUUUUUCUCCCUGAUUACAAAAAUACAUACGUCUAAAAGAAUCCCAAAUAUAUUUUAUAUACGUUUAUUGGGCAUGCGUUCUGUGAUCAAUCUUAUACCAUCAGAAUAAGUGAUAAGACAAUAACAGUGAGGGGUAAUCCUUAAUUACAUGGAUGAUGCUGUGAUUUAGAAAAUCCUGAGAAAUCCAUUGAAAAGUUGUUCAGGUCAGGUGUACUGAUGACCUGCGAGGGUGAUUGAUGAGAAAUAAGCUGAAAAUCAAUGAUGGAAAGUCUGAGCUUCUUGUUUUAACCCAGCCACACAACCAGAAAGUAUCAGAGAAAAAUUAAACUGAAAAAAAUUGGAGCCAGCGUCAUCAAGGCAAAGCCCCAUCCAAGGAAUUUUGAUGUUUUUUAUAGAUGUUGGAUAUUAGUCAGUGACAUGUCAGAAGGGGGAGCAUUUAAAAUUUUGCAGAGCCCUUCUCUAGAAAUUUAUGAAAUUCAAAUAAAUCUAUAAUUGUAACUUUUAA
rnacentral:lncRNA from 1 species